CUGGAACGCGCUUCGGCGCACCCAGAAACCCUUUGUGAACUUAUACCUAUUGUUGCCUCGGCGCAGGCCGGCCUCUUCACUGAGGCCCCCUGGAAACAGGGAGCAGCCCGCCGGCGGCCAACCAAACUCUUGUUUCUACAGUGAAUCUCUGAGUAAAAAACAUAAAUGAAUCA
rnacentral:misc_RNA from 1 species